rnacentral:lncRNA from 1 species
AAAAUUUAAAAUUAAUUUUAUAUUUUGAAUUGAAAUAUAAAUUUACAAUAAAUAUUGUGACAAGAAUUUUGGAUAAGCAUAAAUUUUUUUUUUUCUAUUUUAGAGAUAAAAAGAAAUUAAACAAAUUUCGAAUUAAAAUAUAGAUUCAUAGUAGAUAUUUUUCGGUUGGCAAAAAUUUGGAUAAGUAUAUUUUUUUUAUUUUAGAGAUAAAGAGAAAUUAAAAGUUAAUUUCCGAACGUUAUUUAUUUUAUAUAAGGAAAGAGGAAUCAAUUUUUUUUUUCCGCUUGGGUUUAUUGACAGAUCGAAAUUUGAAAUACGUAAUUUAUAUAUAGUAUAGAUAGUCUAGAUAUUAUAUUAUAGAUAGAGAUAAAAAAGAAUUAAAUAAAGUUUAAAUUAAAAUAUAGAUUCACAGAGAUAUUCUUCGGUUGGCAAAAGUUUGGAUAAGCAUAAAUUAUUUUCUGUUGUAGAAAUAAAGAGGAAUUAAAAGUUUGCGUAAUUCUGUUAUUUAUUUUAUAAGGAAAGAGGAAUCAAUUUUUUUUUUAAGUCUCGCCAAAAAAUGGGUCUGUCAACAUAUCGAAAUUUGAAAUAUAUGCUUUUAUAUAUAGUAUAGAUAUGCUUUGCAUACUGUUCAUGACAUGACAUGAACAUUGCAGGAAAGCUUAAACUUUAUUUUGAUUUCAAUUUUAUUUUACUUGAUUUCUUUAUAAUCGAAUAUUAAAAGAGUCGCUAUUAAUCUCUUUCGUGUUCGUGCUCGUAGGAGGAAAAAUUCCGAUCGUAUUCUGGAACGACAUUUCUGGUUAAUCCCGUAUGAAGAACGGGAAUAUACUUUAGGGUAGUGUCUUGCACGCUUCCAAAUUAAUUAUUUUCGAGUUUUUUCAUCGACUAUAUAUUUGAAAUUUAGCGCUCAUUUGUAAAUACAUUUUUAAUUUUCAUCAUAAAAUUAGCUAG